CUCGUGAUCUGCCAGCCUCAGCCUCCCAAAGUGCUGGGAUUACAGGUGUGAGCCACCAUGCCCAGCCAAGAAUUUGUCAUAUGAUUUUAAGAGCUGAGUAAGACACAGGAAAACAGGUUUCACAGACUUGCAGACAGGCCAAAAAACAAAAAUAA